rnacentral:tRNA from 3 species
GCGGGAUUAGUUUAGUGGCAGAAUGGGACACUUCCAAUGUCCAGACACGAGUUCGAUUCUCGUAUCCCGCA